rnacentral:rRNA from 1 species
GAUGAACGCUGGCGGCGUGCCUAAUACAUGCAAGUCGAGCGAACAGAUAAGGAGCUUGCUCCUUUGACGUUAGCGGCGGACGGGUGAGUAACACGUGGGUAACCUACCUAUAAGACUGGGAUAACUUCGGGAAACCGGAGCUAAUACCGGAUAACAUUUGGAACCGCAUGGUUCUAAAGUGAAAGAUGGUUUUGCUAUCACUUAUAGAUGGACCCGCGCCGUAUUAGCUAGUUGGUAAGGUAACGGCUUACCAAGGCGGCGAUACGUAGCCGACCUGAGAGGGUGAUCGGCCACACUGGAACUGAGACACGGUCCAGACUCCUACGGGAGGCAGCAGUAGGGAAUGUUCCGCAAUGGGCGAAAGCCUGACGGAGCAACGCAGCGUGAGUGAUGAAGGGUUUCGGGUCGUAAAACUCUGUUAUUAGGGAAGAACAAACGUGUAAGUAACUGUGCACGUCUUGACGGUACCUAAUCAGAAAGCCACGGCUAACUACGUG